rnacentral:rRNA from 1 species
GACGAACUGUCCUAACGUUGUUCGGAAUCACUGGGCUUAAAGGGCGCGUAGGCGGUCCAACAAGUCGGGGGUGAAAUCCUGCAGCUCAACUGCAGAAGUGCCUUCGAUACUGUCGGUCUGGAGGGAGAUAGGGGUGUGCGGAACUUCCAGUGGAGCGGUGAAAUGCGUUGAUAUUGGAAGGAACGCCGGAGGCGAAAGCGGCGCACUGGAUCUCUUCUGACGCUGAGGCGCGAAAGCUAGGGGAGCAAACGGG